GACAGAGGGUGCAAACGUUGUUCGGAAUUACUGGGCGUAAAGCGCAUGUAGGCGGCCUAGCAGGUCGGAUGUGAAAGCCCUCGGCUCAACCGAGGAAGUGCAUUCGAAACCGGAAGGCUCGAGUCCCGGAGAGGGUAGUGGAAUUCUCGGUGUAGAGGUGAAAUGCGUAGAUAUCGAGAGGAACACCGGUGGCGAAAGCAGCUACCUGGACGAGGACUGACGCUGAGGUGCGAAAGCGUGGGGAGCAAACAGG
rnacentral:rRNA from 1 species